GGGUGCGAUCAUACCAGCACUAAUGCACCGGAUCCCAUCAGAACUCCGCAGUUAAGCGUGUGCUUGGGCGAGAGUAGUACUAGGAUGGGUGACCCCCUGGGAAGUCCUCGUGUUGCAACCC
rnacentral:rRNA from 1 species